CCCAUGGUGGCCACUGGUCCCAUGGGUGAUCAGUGGUCAGUGUCCAUCACCCAUGGGUGGUCACUGGUCCCAUGGGUGACCAGUGGCCAGUGUCCAUCACCCGUGGUGGCCAGUGGUCAGUGUCCAUCACCCAUGGCUGGUCACUGGUCCCAUGGGUGGUCACUGGUCCCAUGGGUGAUCAGUGGCCAGUGGUCAGUGUCCAUCACCCCAUGGCUGGUCACUGGUCCCAUGGGUGAUCAGUGGUCAGUGUCCAUCACCCAUGGCUGAUCACUGGUCCCAUGGUGGCCACUGGCCAGUGUCCAUCACCCCAUGGGUGAUCAGUGGUCAGUGUCCAUCACCCAUGGGUGGUCACUGGUCCCAUGGUGGCCAGUGACCAGUGUCCAUCACCCAUGGUGGCCACUGGCCAGUGUCCAUCACCCCAUGGGUGAUCAGUGGCCAGUGGCCAGUGUCCAUCACCCCAUGGGUGAUCAGUGGUCAGUGGUCAGUGUCCAUCACCCCAUGGCUGCUCACUGGUCCCAUGGGUGAUCAGUGACCAGUGUCCAUCACCCAUGGUGGCCACUGGCCAGUGUCCAUCACCCCAUGGGUGGCCAGUGGUCAGUGUCCAUCACCCCAUGGCUGGUCACUGGUCCCAUGGGUGAUCAGUGGUCAGUGUCCAUCACCCAUGGCUGCUCACUGGUCCCAUGGGUGAUCAGUGGCCAGUGUCCAUCACCCAUGGGUGGUCACUGGUCCCGUGGUGGCCACUGGCCAGUGUCCAUCACCCCAUGGCUGCUCACUGGUCCCAUGGGUGAUCAGUGGCCAGUGUCCAUCACCCAUGGCUGCUCACUGGUCCCAUGGUGGCCACUGGCCAGUGUCCAUCACCCGUGGGUGGUCACUGGUCCCAUGGGUGAUCAGUGACCAGUGUCCAUCACCCCAUGGCUGGUCACUGGUCCCAUGGUGGCCACUGGCCAGUGUCCAUCACCCCAUGGGUGAUCAGUGGCCAGUGUCCAUCACCCCAUGGGUGAUCAGUGGCCAGUGUCCAUCACCCAUGGGUGGUCACUGGUCCCAUGGGUGAUCAGUGGCCACUGGCCAGUGUCCAUCACCCGUGGUGGUCACUGGUCCCAUGGCUGCUCACUGGUCCCAUGGGUGAUCAGUGAUCAGUGGUCAGUGUCCAUCACCCAUGGUGGUCACUGGUCCCGUGGUGGCCACUGGCCAGUGUCCAUCACCCCGCUGACCGCUCGCCCCCCCAGCGGCAUGGCGNUGGUCCCAUUGAGUGGUCAGUGGUCAUUGUGGGUGGUCAGUGGUCCCAUUGAGUGGUCAGUGGUCCCAUUGAGUGGUCAGUGGUCAUUGUGAGAGGUCAGUGAACCCCAUCACUGGUCAGUGGUCCCAUUGAGUGGUCAGUGGUCCCAUUGAGUGGUCACUGGUCCCAUUGAGUGGUCACUGGUCCCAUUGAAUGACCACUGAUCCUAUUGAGUGGUCAGUGGUCAUUGUGAGUGGUCCCAUUGAGUGGUCAGUGGUCCCAUGGAAUGGUCAGUGGUCUCAUUGAGUGGUCAGUGGUCCCAUUGAGUGGUCAGUGGUCCCAUUGAGUGGUCAGUGGUCCCUGUGAGUGGUCACUGGCCCCAUGGGUGGUCAGUGGUCCCAUUGAAUGGUCACUAGUCCCAUUGAGUUGUCACUGGUCCCAUGGGUGGUCAGUGGUCCCACAGGUGAUCAGUGGCCAGUGUCCAUCACCCCACGGGUGGUCAGCAGUCAGUGUCCAUCACCCAUGGCUGCUCACUGGUCCCAUGGGUGAUCAGUGGCCAGUGGUCAGUGUCCAUCACCCCAUGGGUGGUCACUGGUCCCGUGGGUGAUCAGUGGUCAGUGUCCAUCACCCAUGGGUGGUCACUGGUCCCAUGGGUGAUCAGUGGCCAGUGGUCAGUGUCCAUCACCCAUGGCUGGUCACUGGUCCCACGGUGACCACUGGCCAGUGUCCAUCACCCAUGGUGAUCAGUGGCCAGUGGUCAGUGUCCAUCACCCAUGGGUGGUCACUGGUCCCAUGGUGGCCACUGGUCCCAUGGGUGAUCAGUGGUCAGUGUCCAUCACCCAU
rnacentral:lncRNA from 1 species